rnacentral:rRNA from 1 species
AUUGAACGCUGGCGGCAUGCUUUACACAUGCAAGUCGAACGGUAACAGGCCGCAAGGUGCUGACGAGUGGCGAACGGGUGAGUAAUGCAUCGGAACGUGCCCAGUCGUGGGGGAUAACGCAGCGAAAGCUGCGCUAAUACCGCAUACGAUCUCUGGAUGAAAGCGGGGGACCGAAAGGCCUCGCGCGAUUGGAGCGGCCGAUGUCAGAUUAGGUAGGUGGUGGGGUAAAGGCCCACCAAGCCAACGAUCUGUAGCUGGUCUGAGAGGACGACCAGCCACACUGGGACUGAGACACGGACCAGACUCCUACGGGGGGCAGCAGUGGGGAAUUUUGGACAAUGGGCGAAAGCCUGAUCCAGCCAUGCCGCGUGCAGGAUGAAGGCCUUCGGGUUGUAAACUGCUUUUGUACGGAACGAAAUGGCAACGGCUAAUAUCCGUUGUUGAUGACGGUACCCGCAUAAGAAGCACCGGCUAACUACGUGCCAGCAGCCGCGGUAACAC